rnacentral:rRNA from 1 species
CAGCCGCCGCGGUAAUACCGGCGGCCCUAGUGGCGGCCACUAUUAUUGGGCUUAAAGCGUCCGUAGCCGGGUUGGUUAGUCUCCCGGGAAAUCUGGCCGCUUAACGGUCAGAAUUCCGGGAGAUACUGCCAGCCUAGGGACCGGGAGAGGCCGAGGGUAUUCCCGGAGUAGGGGUGAAAUCCUAUAAUCCCGGGAGGACCACCUGUGGCGAAGGCGCUCGGCUGGAACGGGUCCGACGGUGAGGGACGAAGGCCAGGGGAGCAAACCGGAUUAGAUACCCGGGUAGUCCUGGCUGUAAACGAUGCGGACUUUGUGUCGGACAAGCUAUGAGCUUGUCCGGUGCCGGAGGGAAACCGUUAAGUCCGCCGCCUGGGGAGUACGGCCGCAAGGCUGAAACUUAAAGGAAUUGGCGGG